ACGGGGGGGCAAACGUUGUUCGGAAUUACUGGGCGUAAAGGGCUUGUAGGUGGCCAACUAAGUCAGACGUGAAAUCCCUCGGCUUAACCGGGGAACUGCGUCUGAUACUGGAUGGCUUGAGUUUGGGAGAGGGAUGCGGAAUUCCAGGUGUAGCGGUGAAAUGCGUAGAUAUCUGGAGGAACACCGGUGGCGAAGGCGGCAUCCUGGACCAAUACUGACACUGAAAAGCGAAAGCCAGGGGAGCAAACGGGA
rnacentral:rRNA from 1 species